rnacentral:misc_RNA from 1 species
CCGAACUUGCUGUAAUCACA